ensembl:rRNA 5S_rRNA 5S ribosomal RNA
GCCAGCAGCCAUAUCACUCUGCAACUCACAACUGGCAGCCUCACUGAAGCUAAGCAGGUGUGAGUCUGGUCAGUACCUGGAUAGGAGACCCCCUGGGAAAAACUAAGGUUGCUGCUGGAA